rnacentral:rRNA from 1 species
GACGAACGCUGGCGGCGUGCUUAACACAUGCAAGUCGAACGGAAAGGCCCUGCUUUUGUGGGGUGCUCGAGUGGCGAACGGGUGAGUAACACGUGAGUAACCUGCCCUUGACUUUGGGAUAACUUCAGGAAACUGGGGCUAAUACCGGAUAGGAUCUCUUGCUGCAUGGUGGGGGUUGGAAAGUUUCGGCGGUUGGGGAUGGACUCGCGGCUUAUCAGCUUGUUGGUGGGGUAGUUGCUUACCAAGGGUUUGACGGGUAGCCGGCCUGAGAGGGUGACCGGCGACAAUGGGACUAAGAUACGGCCCAGACGCCAACGGGAGGCAGCAGUGGGGAAUAUUGCACAGUGGGCGGGAGCCUGAUGCGGAGGCGCCGGGUGCGGGAUGACGGCCUUCGGGUUGUAAACCGCUUUCGCCUGUGACGAGGCGUGAGUGACGGUAAUGGGUAAAGAAGCACCGGCUAACUACGUG